GGUGCAAAGGAGAAGGAUCAGACGUGAAAAUUUUCCAUUCUAAACAAAAGGGCGCGGAUCUGGACUAUUAAUCGGGUCAAAGCGCGGAUUUCUAUUCCCUUGAACGGUGCUGUUUUUUUAUUAUACCUUUAAACAAACAUUUUCAACAAUUAUCUUUUAAACAUAACCUACUUUUAAUCUCUUUCUUUUUUAAAAAAAAAACAGCAGCAACCAUUAACCCCCAAUUGAUAGGGUUUCAUUUGGCUUACAGCCGACGAGCCAGUAUUUCGAUUAGUGGCCGACGACGUACGAUUAACGGCUAGAUCUUUGCCCGCGAAAGUCACAACCAUGGAGAUCCAGUACGGAGGUACGGGGCUAGCUGUGGGGAUAUGUGGCAUUCAACGUGGGGCGUACGGAGGCGUUGGAGGCGGUUGUACGAUGCGAAGGCUAUCGGGCUUGUAAUUUGGGUCUAGGUUUAGUUAUUGGGCUUGUUUGGGUCUUGGGUUAUGUUGUUGGGUUUGGGUUUAAUUUUUGUUUAUUUUGUAUUUUGGUGGACCCGAGCAAAUUGGCCCGUUUACAAAAUUGAAAGGAAAAUUAUGUGUUUAAUAAAAUUAAGUCAACAAAAUAAUUUGGGUUAACAUGUAAAA